rnacentral:rRNA from 1 species
GAACGCUGGCGGCGUGCCUAAUACAUGCAAGUACGAACGCUGAAGGAGAAGCUUGCUUCUCUGGAUGAGUUGCGAACGGGUGAGUAACGCGUAGGUAACCUGCCUGGUAGCGGGGGAUAACUAUUGGAGACGAUAGCUAAUACCGCAUAAGAGUAGAUGUUGCAUGACAUUUACUUAAAAGGUGCAAAUGCAUCACUACCAGAUGGACCUGCGUUGUAUUAGCUAGUUGGUGGGGUAACGGCUCACCAAGGCAACGAUACAUAGCCGACCUGAGAGGGUGAUCGGCCACACUGGGACUGAGACACGGCCCAGACCCCUACGGGAGGCAGCAGUAGGGAAUCUUCGGCAAUGGACGGAAGUCUGACCGAGCAACGCCGCGUGAGUGAAGAAGGUUUUCGGAUCGUAAAGCUCUGUUGUAAGAGAAGAACGAGUGUGAGAGUGGAAAGUUCACACUGUGACGGUAUCUUACCAGAAAGGGACGGCUAACUACGUGCCAGCAGCCGCGGUAAUACGUAGGUCCCGAGCGUUGUCCGGACUUAUUGGGCGUAAAGCGAGCGCAGGCGGUUAGAUAAGUCUGAAGUUAAAGGCUGUGGCUUAACCAUAGUACGCUUUGGAAACUGUUUAACUUGAGUGCAAGAGGGGAGAGUGGAAUUCCAUGUGUAGCGGUGAAAUGCGUAGAUAUAUGGAGGAACACCGGUGGCGAAAGCGGCUCUCUGGCUUGUAACUGACGCUGAGGCUCGAAAGCGUGGGGAGCAAACAGGAUUAGAUACCCUGGUAGUCCACGCCGUAAACGAUGAGUGCUAGGUGUUAGACCCUUUCCGGGGCUUAGUGCCGCAGCUAACGCAUUAAGCACUCCGCCUGGGGAGUACGACCGCAAGGUG